GUGCCAGCAGCCGCGGUAAUACAGAGGGUGCGAGCGUUGUCCGGAAUUACUGGGCGUAAAGGGCGCGUAGGCGGCCUGAUAAGUAUGGGGUGAAAUCUCACGGCUCAACCGUGAGGCUGCCUUGUAGACUGUCAGGCUUGAGCACGGUAGAGGCAGAUGGAAUUCCCGGUGUAGCGGUGGAAUGCGUAGAGAUCGGGAAGAACACCAGUGGCGAAGGCGGUCUGCUGGGCCGUAGCUGACGCUGAGGCGCGACAGCGUGGGGAGCAAACAGGAUUAGAUACCCCUGUAGUCC
rnacentral:rRNA from 1 species